rnacentral:rRNA from 1 species
CAUAUCAAUAAGCGGAGGAAAAGAAACCAACAGGGAUUGCCUCAGUAACGGCGAGUGAAGCGGCAAGAGCUCAAAUUUGAAAGCUGGCCCCUUCGGGGUCCGCGUUGUAAUUUGCAGAGGAUGCUUCGGGUGCAGCCCCCGUCUAAGUGCCCUGGAACGGGCCGUCAUAGAGGGUGAGAAUCCCGUCUGGGACGGGGUGUCUGCGUCCGUGUGAAGCUCCUUCGACGAGUCGAGUUGUUUGGGAAUGCAGCUCUAAAUGGGUGGUAAAUUUCAUCUAAAGCUAAAUACUGGCCGGAGACCGAUAGCGCACAAGUAGAGUGAUCGAAAGAUGAAAAGCACUUUGAAAAGAGAGUUAAACAGCACGUGAAAUUGUUGAAAGGGAAGCGUUUGCGACCAGACUCGCCCGCGGGGUUCAGCCGGCAUUCGUGCCGGUGUACUUCCCCGUGGGCGGGCCAGCGUCGGUUUGGGCGGCCGGUCAAAGGCCCUCGGAAUGUAUCACCUCUCGGGGUGUCUUAUAGCCGAGGGUGCAAUGCGGCCUGCCUGGACCGAGGAACGCGCUUCGGCUCGGACGCUGGCGUAAUGGUCGUAAAUGAC